GAGGAUGAAUUAUUGAUAAAGCCAACAACAUAGGGAUUUCUCUUGGUAGUAAUGAUUUAGAAACUGCAAAAUCCAAUAAUGAUCUUCUAGACCUAGAGACGGACAGAGCUAUAGAUUUAAUUCGAAAUUUAGCGGCGGUAAAACCUAUGAAUGAAACAGAUAUAAAUGAUCUUGGAGUAACAACAUUUCAGAGUCUCUAUGACGAUUUAGUCCCCAGGAGGGUGUGACGCCCUCGAUUCAAUCGUACACUAAUCAUACACGCAAAUGUGUACGAUCAAGAUCAAGGACUCACGGGAAGAUAUCACAACACAACUCUAGACACAAAUUAAAAUAAUACAAGCUUUAUAUUACAAGCCAGGGGCCUCGAGGGCUCGAAUACAUAGGCUCGAAAACACAAGAGUCAGCGGAAGCAACAAUAUCUGAGUACAGAGAUGAGUUAGACAAGUUUGCCUUAAGAAGGCUAGCACAAAAGCAACAUCGAUCGAAAAGGCAAGGCCUCCUUCCUGGGAGCCUCCUAACUACUCCUAGUCGUCUGCGGCCUCCACGUAGUAGUAAGCAUCGGCGGUGGCAUCUGGCUCCUGGGCUCCGGCAUCUGGUUGCAUCAACCGGAAAGAAGAACAAAGGGGGGAAGGGGGAGCAAAGCAACCGUGAGUACUCAUCCAAAGUACUCGCAAGCAAGGAUCUACACUACAUAUGCAUCGGUAUCAAUGAAAUGGGCUGUAUAUGUGGACUGAACUGCAGAAUGCCAGAAGAGAAGGGGAAAGCCUAGCCUAUCGAAGACUAGCAUCUUCAAGCAGCUCCAAGCAUCUUGCAGCAUCAGAAGAGGUAAGAGUAGCAUAAAGUAAAGUAGUAGUAGUGUUAUCAACCUCGGCCAGAGAUCCUUUCUCGACUCCCUGCGAGAAAGCAAUCCCAGAGCCAUACUAUCAAUUUCUCAUCACAAUCCAAUUCUCAUCACAAGUAUCCAGUUCUAGUUGUAUCGAUCGGGAUACAACUCCAAGUGUCCAUUACCGUAGGACAGGCUAUCGAUAGAUGUUUUCUUCCCUGCAGGGGUGCACCAACUUACCCACCACGCUCGAUUAAAUCCGGCCGGACACACUUUCCUUGGUCAUGCCCGGCCUCGGCCAAACAAUACGCCGCAACCCAACCUAGGCUUAAUAGAGAGGCCAGCACGCCGGACUAAACCUAUGCCCCCAUGGGUCAUGGGCCAUCGCCCCGGGAACUCCUGCAUGUUGCGUGGGCGGCCGGUGAGCAGACCUAGCUACCUCCUUAAAAAGGUAGGAGCUUACCAGUCCAACCCGGCGCGCGCCGCUCAGUCGCUGACGUCUAUUAAGCUUCGGCUGAUGCAUACGACGCAGAACGCCCAUACAAUGCCCAUGUGAUGGUUAGUGCUAUCAGGCCAGAGGCCCCUGGGAUCAAAUAUCCAAAUCGUAGUGGAUUAGGAAUGCGCGGUAACAAGCAGAGACUCACGAAACACGUGACCCCGUUGCCCCGUCUCAAGGACUUGCGGCAAGGGCUAGGAAUGCCCGGCCACGCCUCGUAAUUAUCUCGCGGGCACCCUCCGGGUCAACCCGUCUCCACAUCACUCGCAAAUAUGCUCGCGUAGGUACCCCUCAGGGCCGACCCGUCUUUAGUAAUAGGCUUCAGUGUAAAGUCAUAGUAACCAUAGUAACCGUGUGUCUAACACCAAGUGGAGAACCUGAGGAAUCACCCUUGACGGAUUCCACUCGAUGUAAUCAUCAAGGUGAACGUAAGAGGAACCACCCCCGAGGUUCACACUUGAGGGGUUGCACGACAGAGUCGUAUCGGAAGUGGUUAAGGUGGAAUCACCCUCGAUGACCACGACCGAAUAGCUACACUACAAGGUUAACAUCAGAAGUGCUGUAGAGGUCUCACCCUCGGCACUCGAUAGUAACCCAAUAGUGUCGAGCAACUAAGGGGAAAGUGAUGUGCGGUGCCGAGGCCUGGUCUUCGAUCCCGUUGAUCGGGUCUUCAAUGAUGAAGCAGGGGCAACAAGGACAAGGUGGGGGGUCACUGAUGGAUCACUAACCAACCUAUACUAAGCAGUUUAGGAUAAGCAGGUAGGUAACAAUAAGCAGGUUACAAAAGCAGGCUAUGCAUCAGAAUAGGAGCAAACAAUAAUAGUACCAAAUCUAAUGCAAGCAUGAGAGAAUGGAAUGGGCGAUAUCGGGAUGAUCAAAGGGGGGGCUUGCCUGGUUGCUCAGACAAGAAGGAGGGGUCAUCGGUGACGUAGUCGAUCACAGCGGCAUCGGCAGCCACCACGGGGUCUACCGAAGAGACGAGGGGGGAGAAACAGUAAAUACAUAGCAAACAAGUGCAUAUCAGGACAACAGGCAGAGCUAGACGUGUUCUAACGCGGUGCUACACGAUACUGGUGAAGGGGGAAUUCAACCGGGAAUGAAUUCCCGGUUCCGGACCUGUGUGAGACAAAUGACCGGGGGGGAAUGUUCCAUGUUCAGAUAGUUAGAGGCAUCUGACAUGUAUGUGGCUAGCGUAUUCGGGUUCGUCUCGUUGUUCUGAGCAACUUUCAUGUAUAAAGUUUUUCGAUCCGAGCUACGGUUUAUUUUAUAUUAAUUUUCAAAGUUUUAAACAUUUAUUGAAUUUACUGGAUUUAAAUUAAUUUCAAAUUAAGUGGUUAAAUGCUACGGGUACACACAGAGCGUACCCAGUUGUAUGUAUGUGAGGCCGAAAAAUGGGCCCAGUCAACUGCCCAGUCAGCAGUCAUUGACUGGUCAACAUUGACUAGUCAAAGGUUGACUUGGGGGCCACCUGUUAGUGACUAGACUUAGUUUAGACUUUAGUUAAGUUAGAAUAAUUAGCAGUGGGGCCGCUAGUCAUAGGGCCAUCUGACUAAUGUAACAAAACAAAGUAAAAAACAACAAAAAGAAAAACUAACAAGGGCUAAUCCCCCGAUUACCCAGGCCGGCCAAAACAAGCGGUGGCCCGAGGCCACGGCUGGGUCACGCUCGGCCGCUCCCAGAGGAGCGCCGGUGGCCAUCGCCCGGGGCAAGGGGCGGGGGUGCAGGGCGAGGCCCCCGAGGCAGAAGCGGCCUAGCCGGAGUGGCCAGGCGUCGACGGCACAAGGCAGGGCGGGCGGCGCAAGGCGGGGCAGCGGCGAGUCCAGCCGGGCGCGGCAGCAGCGCAGCACAGCAGGUGGCAGCAGCAUGAGCGCAAGUGCGGCAGCAAGGCGAGCAAAGCAGCGAGCAGCAUCGGCUAGCAAGGGCAACGACAACACAACAGCAGCAGUCGCAAACAGGCAAAGCGGCGGCAGUAGUAGUACGCACACACGCGUGCGUACGCAGAGCUUCGGGGCGUCGAUGACGAGCUCAAGGCGGCGGCUACAGCGACGAAUCGAGGCAAAAAGAGGGGGAUUCGGGGGAGGUGCUCACCACGAGCUCAUUGGCGAGGUCGGCGAGGCAGGGGGCGGCUCGGAGUAGCGGCAAUGGUGACACGAGAUGCGACGGCCGAGACGGAGAAAGACAAAGAAGGCGUCGUGGAGGGGGCGUCCCGGCUUUGGCUGGUCCCCUGAACGGAAGAAGACGGCCGCUGCGGACCUCCUGGACGUGCUCCCGCCCGUCGGGGAGCUUGGUGUCCGCGACCACGACGACGAGACAGCGGUCAACGCACGAGCGCACGAGCUCAAUUGGAGACAGAGGGGAAGGGGAACGAUGGGGAUCGAGGGGGGAUGAACGAGGGCGAUCUAGGGUUUGCCAGAGGCUUCAGGGCGAUCUUAUCCACCGAGGGGAAGUCGUGGGAUGGCCAACGCUUGGCAGGCAGCCAUGGGAUGGCCUCCACGUCCUCUGUUUGUCUGAUGAACAGAGAAAGGGGAUGAGGGGAAGCUGGGCUGGGCCUAUGCACUGUAG
rnacentral:lncRNA from 1 species